rnacentral:rRNA from 2 species
GGCAGCAGUGGGGAAUAUUGCACAAUGGGCGAAAGCCUGAUGCAGCGACGCCGCGUGCGGGAUGACGGCCUUCGGGUUGUAAACCGCUUUCAGUAGGGACGAAGCUUUUGUGACGGUACCUACAGAAGAAGCACCGGCUAACUACGUGCCAGCAGCCGCGGUAAUACGUAGGGUGCGAGCGUUGUCCGGAAUUAUUGGGCGUAAAGAGCUUGUAGGCGGUUUGUCGCGUCUGCUGUGAAAGCCCGGGGCUUAACCCUGGGUCUGCAGUGGGUACGGGCAGGCUAGAGUGUGGUAGGGGAGACUGGAAUUCCUGGUGUAGCGGUGGAAUGCGCAGAUAUCAGGAGGAACACCGAUGGCGAAGGCAGGUCUCUGGGCCACUACUGACGCUGAGAAGCGAAAGCGUGGGGAGCGAACAGGAUUAGAUACCCUGGUAGUCCACGCCGUAAACGUUGGGCGCUAGGUGUGGGUCCCAUUCCACGGGGUCCGUGCCGCAGCUAACGCAUUAAGCGCCCCGCCUGGGGGGUACGGCCGCAAGGCUAAAACUCAAAGGAAUUGACGGGGGCCCGCACAAGCGGCGGAGCAUGCGGAUUAAUUCGAUGCAACGCGAAGAACCUUACCAAGGCUUGACAUACACCGGAAACUUCCAGAGAUGGGAGCCCCCUUUGUGGCUGGUGUACAGGUGGUGCAUGGUUGUCGUCAGCUCGUGUCGUGAGAUGUUGGGUUAAGUCCCGCAACGAGCGCAACCCUCGUUCUAUGUUGCCAGCGGUUCGGCCGGGGACUCAUAGGAGACUGCCGGGGUCAACUCGGAGGAAGGUGGGGAUGACGUCAAAUCAUCAUGCCCCUUACGUCUUGGGCUUCACGCAUGCUACAAUGGCCGGUACAAAGGGCUGCGAUCCCGUGAGGGGGAGCGAAUCCCAGAAAGCCGGUCUCAGUUCGGAUUGGGGUCUGCAACUCGACCCCAUGAAGUCGGAGUCGCUAGUAAUCGCAGAUCAGCAACGCUGCGGUGAAUACGUUCCCGGGCCUUGUACACACCGCCCGUCAAGUCACGAAAGUCGGUAACACCCGAAGCCGGUGGCCCAACCCCUUGUGGGAGGGAGCUGUCGAAGGUGGGACUGGUGAUUGGGACUAAGUCGUAACAAGGUA